rnacentral:lncRNA from 1 species
GGCGGGCAGGCGGGUGGGGGCACACCCCUCGUACCUGUCACUGGGAUGCAGACUCUCGACAUCCGAGUCCAAGCGCAGGCCCCUCGGGCGCAGGCAGCUCACACCAGGAAGAGACUGUAUUGCAGGGUGAAGAGUGGGCUCCCGUGGGCCCAGAGCUGCACGCCGGUCCACAGACACACUCACGCCCGCCACCUGCUCCCCGCAGGAUGUGUCUGUGUGUGGGAAUUGGUAUCUUGCACCCGUGGGAGUCGGGACAUAUAAUGGAAAGGCCCUCGGGAAGUUCCGCGUCCUCUGUGGGGGCUGCCGGAAGACACGGCCCCAGGAGUCAGGCCCCUGUGGUCAGGUCUAGCAUGGGGCUUGUUUUCCACUCCUGCUGUAAGCAGCCUUCGACACCUGUCCUGCCACGGCCUCCCAGCCGGUGCGGGAGCCCCUCACUGCCCUGACCGACUCCGCAGUCCCCGGGGAGGAGCAUGGAUGGUGUGUCGGCAGCUCCGUCCUUCCAGCUGUCCCGUUGCAGUGCCCGUGAUCCGCGUCUGCCUUAGCAGGGGCCUGCGUGAGUGGGCACGGUGUGGGAGGUCGCCUGCGUGGGGUGGUGUCUGUGUGUGUGCACGCACGCCUGCCAUCAAAGCAGCAGGGCUGAGGGGGUGCAGCUUGCUGGUGUUCACUGGGGGAGGGCCUGUGGGCACACAUGGCAGAGAGAGUGGCUCACACGUCGUGAGGUCUCCCCUGUGCUCUGGUGACCCGAGGAGGUCGUGCAGCACAGCGCAGAAGCCCCUGCCCACGGGAUCCGGCCCCCCAGACACCGACCCCACAGGCCGUCCCGGAUCUCAGCGGACACAGGCAGGAGCGCCCCAUCAUUUGACGGUGAGCAGGACUCAGGCUGUGUGUCCUGGAGCUACUUCUCACCAACUGUGGUCAGUGCAGGGGGAACGAGGAGGUCUUUUGGGGGCCUGGCGAGGGGAAGGGCUGCUGCAGUCUAGGGAGAGGGGGUGCAGCCUGGGGGAUGUUGGUGGACAUGGAUGUGGAGGUGGAAGGAGGAGGACGUUGCGUGGAGUGGUGGGAGGAGGCGGGAGCCGUGUGCGAGAGCAGGUGGAAAGCCUUGAGGGGCAGGACCAGGAUGCAGCUGGCUUGUAGAAGAGCUCAGGAGUGAGCCUGGCACUCCAGAGGGCGCGGCGGGUGGGGAGGCAGCAGGCACCAGUCCAGGAGAGCUUCGUGGACGUGGCUCCUGCGCGCACACCCCCAGGAGCACAGCCACGGGCUGCAGGUGUGGCUGGCCUCAGCACUCAGUCCUCACCCGGAGCCUUUGCCUGCUCCUCCUUCCAAGAGCACUGAGGCACCAGUGGGCUUGGCACUCCACCUUGGGCUUCCUUUUCCUGGAGAGCCGCCUUGAGGGUCCCUCCUGUGACUGGGGUCUCUGCAGCGAGAGCCGCGGGGGUUGCGGAGCCCCUGCCUGGGGGAGCUGGCGGAAUGUGAGCCGCCGGCCGGGGGCCGCCACAUAAGACCUGCAAGGUGGUGCCUGGGGCCCUGGCUCCUUCUCGGCUGCCCCUGCCCACCCAGUAACAG